rnacentral:lncRNA from 1 species
AAAUUGAAAUGGAAAUAUUAUAGCAAAAGACUGGUUUAGUCUUUAUGUAAGACAUCAUGAAUCGUGUCCCAUAUGCUUCGGAUAUAGGAUCGAUUACAUGUGCUAUAUUCAUCCGUUCUAAAAUUUUCCAAAUGCCUGGGGCAUUAAGAAGGGAAAAGGUUUAGAACUGGAUAUGACUAAAAGGAUUAAACAAUUGUCGAGGACAAUCUAAGGUUUACCAAAGAUUGGUUGCUCAAGGACAGUUGGAAGUAUAGUGAUAAUUCUGGAAGGACCAUAUUGACAUAAUCUGUAAGGAGGCAACUCUUGUUCAGAAGUGAUAGUCAAAAUGGAAUCUGGAAAUGUUUCAAAGUUAGAAUUUUCAAUCUGUUUAAGAUUAGGAAACUUAAUGCAAGAAGGAUGUUUCCAAGGAGCUGAUCUCCUUUGGAAUACUCUGUAAUGAUUGUUGUCAAGUCUUUCUGACUUUGUGCAUAAUCAUUACAAGAGGAUCAAUGCAUAUAAGUUUAGAAUCUAACAGAUUUCAGUAAAUGGCAUGAAUUUGGAAUUCUUGCAUUUGCAGUAAGGAUUUGGGAGUGUGAAAAGAGAAUCAUUGAAGUUAUGUUCAAUUGAUCUAGUUCACAAAGUAAAGAUCAUAGACAAACAUAGUAUGCAUACUUGGUGUGUGGCAUGACUAGUGUUUAAGAAAACAUAGUGUACAUGCUUGGAGCAUGGGACAACUAUUGUUUUAAAUUCAAGAAUAAAGUUGAUAGCUGAAACAGUAUACAAUGAAUAAUGUGUAAUCAUAUGGUGAUAAAUAAAAGGUGUUUUAUUUAUGUUCAAAGGGUUGAUACCAUAUUGGAUUCAAUUAUUAUUGUGUUUCACUUUGCAUGUUUUGACUUCCCGAAUAAACUGGGUUAUUCUUCCGGAAUGACUAAGUUAUUCAAACCAUCCACAGUCGGUCAUAUGUUGGAAGUAGAUAUGAAUUAAGACUGUCAUGAUGGGUUGUAGAGGUCUAAGGUGUUGGACAAGGCUACAACAAUCAUGAGUGCUCAUAAGUUCUGAGUAUUGGAUUCAACCCGCGCUCAUUGGAAUCACUUCAUGGAUUUUAUCACGAGUGAUCAUGAGACGAUAAUAUCUUAUAUUCUUCAAACCUAGAGAUAUGAGUUGUUACUAUGAGUUGAUAGUACAUUGAUAGCACGAAAACGCAUUUGGUAACUCGGUGCUAUAAAACGUGCCUUUGUGUAUGAUUCAACAAGUAGUAGAACAAGCCAUAUGAGUCGAAGUUUAUCCGUUCCUUUUACCUUCGGGAUAAAAGCGAUAUCUGUGGGCCCCUCGAUGAUUUGAUGAUGACAAAUGGAAGUGCUCGGCCGGGCCAGGACUGAUUUGAUUUGUUCAAUUAGUCAGUCGUCAUAAAUCGGAAAUCGGGAAACAACAAAUGGACAGAGAGAAUGAUUAUAAUCCAUGUCUCAGUCCAUAUGAUAUCUAGAAUGGAGGAAUAUAUGAUCCCUUAUCUAAUGGACAAGUCACUGACAAAGGUCAGAGUUCAUCUACAAGGUCAGAGUUCGACAGAAGCUUUUGAGAGCUACGAUUGCCGGUUGGUUCCUGAAGUCAUACGCAAUAAUAGUUUUAGACUUAUCCAAGUGGGAGACUGUUGGAUUAAUGUCUAAGUCCAUAACUAUAUUUGGUAAGACUUGACCCGACCCGGCAUGGUCCAUUUGGGUUGCAUACCAUCAUGCACUUGAAUGAGAGAAAUAAGACACUUAUGGUUAUUAAUAUAUUAUAAGUUCUAGUAUAUUAAUAAUAAGAAUAAUAAGAUUAUUUAAUUAGUAUUGAUCAAGAAUUAAUCUAGGAUUAAUUAAGUGAUCAAAAGAAGACUAAUUAAAUAUAUGGGUUGAUUGUGUAAAUCAUCCAUACUUGUAUAGUGGGCUAAUGCUCCAUGGAUAAUCAAGUUGGGCUAAAACCCAUAGGAUGGUCCAUGGAUGCUCCAUGGUGUAUUUGUACCCAUGGAUCCAAGGAAAUGGAAAGCCAUGACAAUUAAGAGUUUACCCUAAUUGUGUAACUAUAUAAGCAUCUUAUUAUUGAGGAAAAAUCGGCCACUAGAGAUAGUGAAGAAAGGGCUAGCCGAUUUUGAUGAGUGUAGAAUUCUCUCAAGUCAUUCCAAGUGUUUUGAUGAUUGUGAUUCCAUUUGAGGUGUCACACUUGGGGCACUAAGCACUCAAGCUUCAUGAAGACUUACUACACCAAAAAGGUAUGUAUUCUAUCCUACUAUAUCCAUUGUUUUAUAUGCUAGAUUAGGAUAAUACCUUGGAAGUUCUUAUUUGCAUGUAUAAUAGAGAAAACAUAGAUCCAAGGUAUUUAGGGUUGCAUGUACACUUAGGAAGUGUUAGAAUGCACAAAACCCAACAUCAUGAGAGUGUUGUGUCAAAGGAAAUGAAUGUGGUUUCCAGCUUGGGUUCGUUAGCUCUAAUCUCCAAGGGAAAAAGUGCAGUUGAAGAAGAAGAAGAUUUGGAUCUUGCUGAAUAUGAUCUAAGUGGUGAAGACUAUGAUUUGAUGGUGUCCAAUCCGAGAAAGUUUAUCAAAAGAAAGUUCCCCACCAAUAAGAACCGAAAUUGGCAGGGAAGUUAUAGUUCUGAAAAGGUGAAGGAGGAAUCGAAGAUGGUUUCUAAGACUGAAGAAUCGAAGAAGGAAACAAUGAUUGGAGGUGACUCAGGUUUUGAUUGCCAUUAUUGUGGAGGCAAGAAUCACUUUGCCAAAGAUUGCAUGCUGAAUAAGACAUUGGAAAGGGUUGAUGAAGGCGAUGAAGAAGCGAACCUCCUGAGACGAUUAGAGGAGAUCAAGAAAAAGAAAUCAACAACUAACAAUAAUACCAUGAAUGCUUUAAUUGUGCAGGGUAUAAGUUAUAAUGAUGAGUUUGGUGGAGUUCAGGUGUGGUCCACAGAUUCGGAGGACGAAGAAGUAAGUAAGCUCACUCAUGGCAAGGCUCUGCUGGUGAAAGAAGAAAUGGUUGAGGGAAGAUGUUUGAUGGUGACGGCUGGUGUGUCGCAUAUGCGAGGAUACACAACAGAUGGUGGACUAGAUGACAAGAAGGAUCGAGAGGACAGAUGUUUCGCUGCGAAACCUGUUAGUGCGCAGAUCAACGAAUGUGACGAGUUGAUCAAGAAGGUACAAAGUAUUCUCAUUUCUCGGAAAAUACCCAUUACAAACUAUGAAAAGGAACUAAAUGGAUUAAAAUCUAAAUUUUCUAGUUUAAGUAGUAGUCUUACCCAAACUCGUGUCACAAACUCUAUCCUGACUUAUCAAAUUAGCAGGGUAUCGUCGAAGAGUGAGGAGAGGCGAAUCUGGAUUGAGAAAAAGGAGAAGGAAUUAAUUAGGUCUAGGGACGAAUCUAUCUAUUAGUAAUGAGACAAUCUUAAUCUUUUAAACUAAUGAAAUGUUUUUUUGUUUGAUUGCUAAAAGAUUAUAUUUUAAUAUCACUCAGUUACAUCUCGAUUGUGAAAUAGGAAAGAAGAUACGUAGCAUGAUUUUACCCUUCCUUGAGCUAAAGGAGGAUGAAGUCGAUUCCGAAGCUUACAACUGUAAAUAUGUUGAAUCUUCUAAUGAAAUAUCUCCCGCGUACAAAAUUUGUCUUAACAAAAUAGAGUCCAACAUAAAGUCAAAAGACCAUAAGGACAUGCUCAAAAAUCUAUUGGAUGAAAACGACAAACUAAAAUUGAGAACCGAAACUUUACAGAAAUUUGACUCGUUGAAUGCCAAGUUAAGUUCAGAAAAUAAAAUCGAUGUUGAAAAUGCAUCUGAACUUAAUGAGGAUGAUGACAUCAGUGAAAGCUUCGUAGAGGAUGAGGUUGACUGCUCAAAAUUUGUCAAGAGCAAACCUGAAAACCACAAAAAUCUCAUAUCUGAAUAUGUAGUUGAGUUUGCUCGUAUAUCCAAUGAUAAGACCAAAGUGCUUAAAGAAAAAGCAGUUGUAUUCCAAAAAGUCCAAACUACUCCUAUUCAGGUCUAUAAGGUUACUGGAGUAACUGAACAUCAAACAGCCGAACUCACAGCGUUAGUUAACGAAGAUAAUGCUGAUGGCUGUGAUGAAUUCUUUUGGUCUACUUCAAUUGACAACGCUGAUGAAACUGUUGGCCUAUCAGAGAAAACAUCCUGGAAAGUUAAGGGAGGUAUGUGGCAGAACCACUCAACAAGCGUGGCAAUUUUGAUGUGCUAAGCACUAGUGGUACAAAAAAGGUUCGAGUCAAACCAGUCAAAGAGGCAACCAAAACCUCAUCACUAAAGAGUGAAACACAUGCUCAAAGACUGAAGCAAAAAGCUAACAUCCACAAGACCCAGAAAUAGGUGUCAGAAAGAAAUAACAAACGUAACUUGAGAUACAAGAAGAAUCUCACAAAGAGGAAACAAUUUUGGCGAUUCCAGUUGCCUCAAUACGUUAGGUAUGAAAAGACAAAUAAGUCACAAGGAGAAACAAGAGCCAAUUCCACUUCACGAAAUCAGUCUCCCUUACAUGGCAAGAACAACUGAAACAAGGAUUUCGGCUACUACCAUGAAAACAACCAAAGGCAUAGGUUCGGUUCACAAUGUCACAACAACCGAAAGGAAAGUUUUGGUCAUCAGGUGACAAACAACCGAACGAAUGGGUUCAGUCCCCAAAGAAAAAAACAAACCAAAAGAGAAAUUUCGGUCCUCGGGCAAUGACAACCGGAAGGAAGUUUUCGGUCCUCACCAUGUAAGCAAACGAAUGGAAGGGUUCGGUCCCAAGUCCACAUGUGAGAAGAACCGAAGGGAAAGUUGUUUCCAUUCUCAACCAAGGAAGAGCAAUAACCAAAGGUCUAACUUUGCUUCUAAAGCUCUUUCUUCUUAUUCCCGUUCUCACUCAACAAAAGAUUCAAAAAGGAAAGGAAAGCUCUUUCCAGAAGAUGAAAGACACCCGAUAGAAACUCGAAAGCAUGCAGACGUCAAAACAACAAAUCCUAUGUCUAAACCAAAUGAGUCCAAAUCGAAUAAAAUCAAAGUUUUUAUUAUCAAGAGAAAAGAUGAAAAUACAUUAAUAAAAAGAACUUAUCUGAUUGAUGUCUCUCUCAUAAUUGCCUAUCCUAUAAAAGGCUCACAAGGACCCAAGAAGCUUUGGGUUCCUAAAUCUGCUUGAUAUUUUGCAGGUUAUUCGUGACGAGCAGUUCGACAAAGAAUGGUACAUUGAUAGUGGCUGCUCGCGUCACAUGACAGGUAUAAGGGAAGAACUGAGGGAGUUUCGGUUCCUCAAGGAUGGUGGAAUGAUGAAAUAUGACAACAAUUCGUUCGAAACAAUCAAAGGCUAUGGUAUGAUUACAAAUGGUGACUUAUUGAUAAGAAAGGUAACAUACGUUGAAGGAUUGCAGCACAACCUCAUCAGUGUCUCACAACUGGUGGUUGGUACCGGAUUUAGGGUCUCCUUUGAUGAUGAAGGCUCAGAAAUUGUUGAAAAGAAGUCCAAUAAUAUUCUGUUGAAAUUGAAGCGAAAGGGAGAAAUUUACCCUCUAAAUGUCAAUUCAAUUCGAGGGAAACCAGUUGUUUGAUUACUAACGAAGGCACACUCAGACAAAAGCUGGUUAUAGCAUCGAAGGCUCUCACAUCUCAAUUUCAAAGAUAUCAACAAGCUGGUGCUUGGUGAUCAUGUUUGAGGUCUUCCAGUUCUAAAAUUUGACAAAGAACAUCUAUGUGCAUCUUGUGAAAUGCGAAAGCAAAGUCGACAAAGCCAUCCUACUACAAUCAACACAAAGGUGAUAGAACCACUAGAGCUACUACACAUCGAUCUGUGUGGUCCUUCUUCAAUCGAAAGCACUGGUGGAACACAAGUAUAUACUUGUUAUAGUAGACAAUUUCUCUCGCUUCACAUGGGUAUUUUUCUUUAAGCAAAAAUCAAAGGCCACUCCCAAGCUCAAACUCUUUAUAAAACAAGUAGAGGUUCAACUACGAAAAGUGGUUCAUAACAGUGAGAAGUGAUAAUGGCUUGGAAUUCAAGAACAAGGAUUUUAAAGACUUUUUACCAGAGAAGGGAACGACUCACAACUUUUCUGCUCCAUAUACUCCACAACAAAAUGGAAUCAUUGAAAGGCGAAAUCAUUCUCGUUGUGAAGCAGCCCGAACUAUGCUGAACUUCGCUUCAUUACCUUUAUAUUUAUGGGCUGAUGCUACUGCUGCUGCUUACUACACGCAUAAUAGAUCGUAUCUGAACAAGCGCUUCUCAAUCACUCCUUAUAGAUCUUGAAGAACCGAAAGCCAAAUGUGAAGUUCUUUCACGUGUUCGGUUCAAGAUGCUUCAUCUUCAACUCAAAGGAGAAUCAAAACAAGGCCGAUGAAGGGAUCUUUUUGGGCUACUCCUUGAACUCAAAGGCAUAUAGGGUUCUGAAUAAACGUUUAAAGAAAAUUGAAGAAACCUACUAUGUCACUUUCGACGAUAACUAUGUCAAGAAGUUGAAGGCAACCAGAGAGAGCUUUUAAUUCUGAAUCCAAGGCUAAAGAUAACCAGGUCGACAAUUUGAAGCAAAUCAUUGACGACGCUGCAAAGAAGAUGGUAGAUGAACAACUGAAAGCAACUGAAAAGCCAACGACAAGAGAACCUCCAAAAGAUAAUUCUCAUGUUUAGGGGGAGGGUUCGUCUUCAUCAGAUAAUUAUAAGUCACCAGUCCAGGGGAGAAUAAGUCCUCAUCAAGUCCAACCGAAAGUCCAAUGGAAGGGGAGUGUUCUGAACUAGACAUCGAACUCAUGUCAUCAUUCGAGUGGGAGAAUGAUGAUGACACUUAAUCUGAACUCGAAGAAGAAAUAAACGUAGAACUGGAUCCCUCUUGUGAUCCAAAUUACCCUCCUCUCAUCAAGUAGACCAAAGAUCAUCCUCAAAGUUAAAUUAUUGGAAAAUCAUCUGAAAAGGUCUUAACUCGAUCAUAACUGAAAGCGAAACAGGUUGCAUUAUUCUCUCAAAUAGAAUUUUGUAUGUUCAACUCAUUCGUCUCCAAAGUUGAACCAGAGACGGUGAAUAUAGCUCUUGAUCAUUCCAAUUGGGUUCAAGCUAUGCAAGAUGAUCUGAACGAGUUUGAACGAAACAAAGUAUGGCGAUGAAUUCCAUCUCCAAAGGAUGCUUCGGUUGUUGGACUAAAGUGGGUUUUCAGGAAUAAGAUAGACAAGGAAGGAAACGUGAUUCGCAACAAGGCUCGGUUGGUUGUGAAAGGCUACUGUCAAGAAGAAGGCAUAGAUUAUGAAGAGACCUUCGCUUCAGUUUUAAGAUUAGAAUAGGUUUGAAUAUUUAUUGCUUAUGUUGCACACAAAAAUUUCGAAGUCUAUCUAAUGGACGUGAAGCGUGCCUUUCUCAAUGGAGAACUUGAAGAAACGGUGUAUGUAGAGCAACUGCCAGGCUUCGUGAACGAGAAGUAUCCAGAUUACUGCUACAUUCUGGACAAGGCAGUAUAUGGCCUGAAGCAGGCUCCUAGAGCAUGGUAUGAAACCCCUACUCUAUUCUUAAAAAUGUCCAAAUUUAAACAAGGUUUGGUUGACCCAACCUUAUUUAGUAAGAAAGUGGGUAACGACCUUAUGAUAGUCCAAAUUUAUGUUGAUGAUAUCAUCUUCGGCUCCACGAAUCCUAGCCUAACAGCCGAAUUCAGGAAGUUGAUGGAAACUAAAUAUGAGAUGAGCUCAAUGGGUCUGAUUAACUUUUUCCUAGGCUUUAAUAUUAGACAGGGACCUGAAGAAAUUUUUAUCAAUCAGGAGGCGUACACAAAGACAUUACUUGCCAAGUUUAGGAUGUUGGGAGACUCAAAGGUGAAGGUUCCUAUGGCGUUUGGCACUAAUUUUACACCAUCAUUGGAGAAAUCAGCUGCUGACAUGAUGCUUUUCGUCAGAUGAUUGGGCCACUGAUGUAUCUUCUUGCCAGUAGGCCAGAUAUUAAGUUAUCAGUCUGCUAUUGUGCCCAAUUCCAAGCUAACCCACGUGAACCUCACAUGCUGGCAGUGACGAAUAUUUUUCGCUAUCUGAAGCGAACCACCUCUCUCGGUCUAUGGUAUCUAGCCAACUCAGGAUUCUUUGUCCAGGCAUUCUCAGAUGCUGAGAUAGGGGGAUGUGGAUUGGAUCGUAAAAGCACUGCUAGAGGAUGCCAAUUUCUUGAUGGCAAAUUAGUAAGCUGGCAAUCAAAGAAACAAACCUGUGUUUCUCUCUCCACAACCGAAGCUGAAUACAUAGCCGCAACAUCAUACACAUCUCAGGUCGUUUGGAUACAGAGUCAACUUAGAGACUAUGGGCUGAACAUGAAGAAAAUCCCAAUAUAUUGCGACUCAGAAAGUACAAUUAGGAUUUGUCAUAACCCAGUGCAACACUCAAAUACAAAGCACAUAGCACUGCGAUAUCACUUUAUCAAAGAUCAUGUGGAAGAUGGUAACGUAGAGAUUCCUUUCGUUAGAACCACUAAUCAAUUAGCAGAUAUCUUUACUAAGGCCUUACCUGAAGUAAGUUUUAAUAAGAUCCUACAAGGCCAAUGAAUGAUGGAAGCUGAAUCUGUACCGAAAUCGGCUUCGCUUCAUUAAAGGUUGGAAGCGAAUUAGAGCGAAUGCUCGGUCUAUUUCGGGUUCGGUUCACCCAGGAACCGAAAUGAACCGAACGCUCGGUCUAUUUCGGGUUCGGUCCUACUGAACUCGUUUCGCAUUAUUUUGUUUAAAAGGAAUUUAAGUUGUAUACUUUUGUACACUCUUUUACAUACUUAUUUUUAUGUUUUUCUUUUCAUAUUUCUUAUUUUCAAAAAAUCCAAAAAUAAUUUUCUUUUUGUUUUUAUUUCUUUUUCUUUAGAAAUUUUUCACAAAAUACAAAAAUAUUUUAUUUCAUUUUAUUUUAUAUUUCUCAUGAUUUCAUGUUUAAAAGCUAUUCUCGAUUAUGGAACUGGAGCAGGUUUAAGUUUCUCUCUGUAUCAGUUAAGUGUCCGUGGAAGCAUGCUGCUGCAUGUCGACCGAAGCCUCUAUUGAUUUUGAGUGAAGCCGUAAUGAUGUGAUAUAUACAAAUCAUGUUUUCCUAAUUAGGCUGUUAAAUUCACUCUAAUCAUGAGCUACCUUACUCUUCUCAUAUUGAGCUUAGAGUUUUUUACUUGGUCCUACUUUUAUAGCAGAGGUACAUUCGGCUCCUUAACCAACUACACCAUUUUUCUCCAUCUCACUUCAUAUCAUUAACAUAACCCUUGAGACUCUUAGCAAUUACCACUGAGGGUUAUGGUUACGCAACAUCUGUGUUUAUGAUCUUAGUCUCGUGUUACUACGUACUACAUGAAACCUAAAACUCUAUACCUAUAAUGAAUUGAUGGUGAAUAAUUAAUAUGUUCUAGUUUUCACCAAUGAAUUAACGAAACCACUCUAUGCGGAGUUACCAGAAAUCUCUUUCUAUUUUGAAAGAUCCUUUUGAAAUUGUCUAUCACCAUGAAUUUUCUUCCCCAAGGAUCCAGUUUUAUUUUUUUUGAGACAAGACAAGAUUUUGGGCGAAUUUUCUCUCUCCUAAUCCCAAGUAUAAAAGGUUUCUCUAAAUCACCUUUACUCUUUUACCGCUUUCUAAUCUCCUAAAGCAAAAAGACGAUUUCUUUCAUUGUUCAUCAUCUUUUUCUCAAGCUACAUCAAUGGCAGAAUCUUCUUCUGUUCAAGACACCUCUGUUCGCUCCACCCUUGUGACCAUCAAGCCUCACCAAAAACUCAUAAUCGACCUUACACCAUUCACCUAUGAACCCUACAUGCUGCAAGUUGUGGAAUGCCUCAAAUAAUCUCCGCUUUUUAUCGCUCUGUCACAGGUGGAGGUUGUUCCCAUGUUGUGCCUCUCUCAUAUCUACGCAACUGAUCACCAUGACAAAGUCGCUGAGAGAAUCCACUUUAAUAUUCACAACGAGAAGACCUCGAUUUCCAAGAAUGAAUUAUGCACCCUGGUAGGUCUUACUCACUAAACUACCAUGGUAAACCCUGAGUCCAUCUCAACUGGUCAACUGUUCUCAAUGUUCUACAACAUAGGGUAUACUGAAACCCUAACCACCGUGAAGAAGUUCAAGAAAUCAUGCCUUUCUCCACAAUGGAAUGGCCUCUUCACUCUCAUAUUCAAAGGUCUCUCAGACCGAAGUGCUGGAUCAGAUGGGGCGAGCAAGUCAUUUAUGACCAUGCUUUAUGGCUUGUACAAUGGGGUAGAUCUUGACUUUGGUUCGGUCCUAUGGCAACAGCUUGUUCAAAGCUUAUCCUCCUCUUCUCUCCAUUUUGAAGUUUCGUGUGGAAGGUUCUGGACUAUUGUCACAAAAUGGGCGAUGGAUCGUUUUAAUGUCCCAAUCAUGGUAGACUCAGUUCUCUCCUUCAUCUCAACAUUCCACACAACAAAGAUUAUAGUCAUUGAUCCGUCCAAGUACUUGUUUAUUUGAUCGAUUCUGGCAUCCAUGUAUGCCUGUAUGUCUGAGGCGAGUAAUGUCAUACAAGAGUACAAGAAGCUUCCAUCUUCGGUCCUAAGGGAACUAACACCCACAAUGAUUCGUUCCAUUGAGGAAGCAGAUAUGUCGUGAAAGAGGGGAAAGAAACAAGAAAAGAAGAAGGAAUAAAGGAUUACCAAAGGAGCUAAGGGGCAAACUCCAAGGAAGAGAAAUUCUGAGAAGGCAGCACCUUCCCAGCCCAAGCUAAAGAAGACCAAGAAGCCUGCUCGGAAGCUUAUCCUUCAAUCAUCGAGCGACUCUGACUCCGAGUAUAUCCCUAAUGGACAUAAACAACCCACUCCUAGCGCAUCUGAGAGCGAAAGCUCUGAUGAUGAGGUUUCAGUUCAUGAUGAUACCCCACCUCGAUCGCCUACACAAGAGGUACAAGUUCACUCCAACGCACCUUCUCCUCCACCUGUUUCCAUUCCUAUUUCCUUACAUGCCACUUUCCCAGUUAUCACAUCACAACCCACUUCUACAAUUCCACUUCCUCCUCCUAUUUUUUCUGAUGCUACAACUACCACAAAAACUGAAGUUAAGACCAACUUAUCUGAUACGGGGGUUCGGUCUUCAGUCCCUGAAACAUCCAAACCGCUAUCUCCCACACUCUCAACCGAAACCAAUAUUGUCCUUGGUGGUGAAGAAAUGGAUUUUGAUUCUUUCUACUACAACCCCUACCGGGUUCAGAGUGAUGAAGAUGAUGAUGCUCUCGUUACCAAAAAGCACAUCAAGAAGCUGAAUGACAAAAUCGACAAUCUUAUGGCCUCUUCCUCCUCUCACUAUCCCUACUCUGAAGCUGCUAUUCAGAGCAUGGUUGACACUUUUUUCAAAGAUCAUGAAGCAUCAAUUUCUAAAGCCACAGAUGCAAUUGCAGCCUCAACCAAAGUCUGCACAGAAGUGACUGAAAAAGUCGAUAAACUAGUUCACAACGCUAAUAUUUUUCUUGAGUCUUUACAGGGAGCAGCUGAGUUGGACGCUUCUAAAGUGAACAGCUCCAUUGCCAAACUUGAAGAAUCCUUUGCUGCUGAGAAGCAACACUUUGCCUCCCUUCGCCAGAACAUUCAAAAGGAUAAUGUUUCCCUUCUGUCCUCUCUCAAUGAGCAUCUCAAGAAGCUCCAAGUUGAUCUAGCCAUGGAAAGCUUGAUCAUGGAUGAACUCGAUCUCAAGACUACUCAGCUGAAAACAAAAAAUCUCCUACUUUCUCAGGCAAACAAAGAGGUAGAUCACCUUCGCUCUGAAAGUGCUGUCGUCAAGAGCUAUGUCUCAGACGUACAUGCCAUUUUAUCGAACAUUCUGGAGGCUCACGAUCCUAUCUUGACCAUAGCAGUUAGACGAAAUAUUGUUGAAAAAUUAUGUCCUGCACUUGGGAUGUUGAGUCGCAUCGAAGGUGUUUCAGAGAUUGUGGUACCUCCGAAACAAGGGGGAGAAGAACUAACAUCUUCGUCUCAACCUCCUCCUAAGUCUCAACCUCCUCCUACUACCCAGCCCGAACAACAGAAGACUGAGCAUGCUUUGAGUUCGGGCUUUAAGGAUAAAGGCAAGGGUACUAUGGAUGACAGUGAUGAGGAAGAGGAGACAGUAGCAGAUGCUCUGAAGCGAAAGGCAAGGGAAAGGGAACUCGAUCUCAAUGCCAAGAUUGUAAAAGAAGCUAAAGAGAAUGAAAGAAGAUUAAAGGAGGCUCAUGAUCUCCUAGAAAGCAAGAAAUCCCUCUUUCCCCUAUGGACUCUGGAGCAGCUAAUCAAAAAAGCCAUCGAAUCCCCUAGCACUCAUUGGCUUGAGCCAGUAGUGUCUUUGGAUUGUGAAAAUACAAGGGACUCUUAGUUCGAUAUUCCAAUCAUCCAAAAGGCAUUUUUCACUGCUUUCUUUCUAUCGCAGAUGUACCUCAUCCAGACCCGAAGAUUGAUCGUGAGCUAAUCGACUACUAUUUGGAGUUCGCUCAACCUCAAUAUCUUACUUGGAGUGCUCAGAAAAUUAUCACAGUUCGGGUCCUUAGGCCUCACAUAGCAAGGAAAUUCAUUAAUGUCAAAUUCAAGGUUGUUGAAACAUAAAAGUGACCCUCUUGAACUUAGCUACCGCAAUCGUUCAGUACCUGCAACCAAUACAGCACCCGGAGUCAAUCUCUACAACUGUAACCGCAACCAUUCUCCAUCAGCAAUCAUAUCAGCAUCCAGAGUAUUCAAGUCUUUCCUAUCCGCAGUCUUAGUUAUUUCUUUUACCAUGUAAUUCACUCUAUUGUCCAGCAUGCCUUGCAUGGCUGCUGAUAGAGUAGUUCUUUUCUAAACUCUAUAAAUAGAGACUCUUUCUUAUGUAUUAAGUACUGGUGAUAUAUGUGAGUGUGAAAACUCUUAACUUCUCAAUACACAAGAUUUCUCAUUCAAUCAUCUUUCUUAUCUUCAUCAGUUAUCUAUCUUAUUACUCUUCACACUCAAACUGCUACUGAAACAUAACCUCUCUUCAGAGCAUGUCUUCUAGACUUAAUCACUAAACUUGAUCUCGCUUACUAACUUGGAGUGACUGUAUUCCUUGUUAUGAAUCAGUUUAAGUGUAUUCUUGAUAUAACUUUUGUCAUUUAUCUUUCUUUACUUUCCGCAACUAACUAUCUAACUAUCUAACUAUCUAACUUUAUUAUUGUUGAGCUUUUAGAUCCUUAGAGAUAACUAUUCCGCAACUUACUUGUGCUAACGUUUGUUCAAGUGUGUCUCCAAGUUUCUCUCUCAACAAUUGGUAUCAAAGCCAAAGUGGUUGCUUUUUGGAUAUCGGAACUCUGAUUUUCUCAUUAAGCCUUCUAUACCACGAAAGCUCAUUUAUCAAAAAAAAAAAACAAAAUGGCACAAUCGUUAUCUCUGAAUGUCUCCAAUAGUGUUGGUGGUUCUAAUCGAGCCCCAAUACUAGUAGCAAAUGAAUAUCAUCACUAGUCACAAAGAAUGGAGAGGUAAUUAAGAAGAUUAGGUAGAGAUGUAUGGAGAUCCAUGGAAGAAGGACCACAUGUUCCAGUCCUCACACCGAUCCAAACUGAUGGCGCUGCAACCAGACUAGGAGGAGGUCAACCAACUAUGAGCCGUCCUACCAAAGAUGAUCUCGAUAAAAUGGAAAAUGAUGCUAUUGCUUUUUAUGAAAUUUCGUGUGGUGUUGCUCCUGACAACUUUGAUAUUAUCAUAAACUGCAAGUCAGCAAAAGAGAUUUGGGAUGUACUCAAAAACCUGUACGAAGGAUUAGAACAAGCACAAGAUAAGAAGCUCACAACCGCACUCAACGACUUCAACAACUUCAAAGCUCAUGCUGGUGAAAGUUUGGAAGACUCCUUCAAAAGAUUCAACCUGAUAGUCACGAAGUUAUCAAAUUCUGGUACCAUCCGCAGCAAUCAUGAAACCAAUCUCUAGUUCCUUAAUGGUCUAUGAAGACAUUGGACUACGGCCAAAAUGAUAGUCCAAGGUGACAGAAAGAUUCACUCUUUAUCAAUCUACAAACUCUAUGGAGAACUUCAAGCCCAAGAAUCCACUGUACUCAAAGAUUGUGCUGACUUCGGAGGACCGCUUGCUCUGAUAGCACAAGCUCCACCGCAGUCACCCUACUCUUCCUCGUAUGACACCCCACCAUAGUCAUACGAAGCAGAUUCUGAGUAUGAUGAUGAAGAAGAUUUUCAGAAGGCUAUUGCUCUAGUUAGCCAACAGUUCAACCGCAUACCACCUUCCUCUUUCUGCAAGAAUCAACAAUUCAACAAACCACCAUUCAACUGUAACUUCGGUCCUCAGAACAACAACACUCGGUAUCCUAAAGUCUCUCAAAACAAUCAACCCAAGGAGGUACCGUAGUCUCCUCAGAACAAUGACUCUGAUACUCAACCAGAAGACAAGAAUGAUGUUGUGAUUUGUCACAAAUGCAAUAAAGAAAAUCACUUCGCAAAAGAUUGUAAGGCAAAUGUAGUCAAGGACAGAGCAUUCUAUCUUCGAAUGGCUCAGGAAUUGGAAGAAAAGGAAAAGGCAAGGGCAUAUGUGGCUCAAGUUAAAAGAGACCAUCAUGUUUGGUCAUCGGGAGAUGAAGAAGAGACCAUCAAUAGUAUUAAAGGAAAAGGGAAAAUCUGCAUGCUGGCCACUGCGGAUGAUGAUGGGUCAGCAAUAUUGAACAAAAACUAUUGCUACAUGGCGAAAGAUGGGACUCUAAGCAUCGUUGAAUAGGUAAAACUCAUGAUCCAAACUUUAAAUUAUAGCAUGCAUGAUUGUCAACCCUACAUAGAUGAUCUUAAUGACACUUGUGUUUCUGUCCUUUCAGACUAUAACAAAGCCUUAGAUGAGAAGAACAUUGCGUCCCAAGAGAUGUUCCACGUGAGAGGAAGACUGGAUAACAAGAGACUUAAGAUGGCAAUGUUAGAAAGGGAUCUGGAGUUAGAGAGAGAUGCUAGAAUGUUAAGUGAAACUCAAUUAGAAAUAGCCUUGAAUCAAAAAGAUUUAGCUCAGAGCAAAAUUGUACGCUUGAAUCUUUUAAUUGAAAAACUGUUUAAUGAAAGUGAGGCUAUUGAAAAUUUGGUAAACAAUGGAACCGUAGGCAAUACACAUAAUUGGGUUUGGUCAAAUAGAUAUCCUACCGCAAUGGAUUCCUCACCCCGGUUCAACAAAGACAGAUUGUAUGUCCCUCCUGAUAAAGAAUUUCAUUUCCCUGUCAAUCACAAGACUUUUCCCGAAGAUAUCAAAACUCACUACGGUAGAUUACACAAUUUGAGCAAUAAUUUUGUCAUUGAGGAAAUUGUGCCAGAGGAUUCUAGUCACAUAUGUGAUCAAACUCCCAUCAGUGGCACAACUCACUCCAAUUCUCAAGCUUCAUCCGAAGUUGAUGAAGAAAUUGUUGUUGAAGGCCCCGAAGUCUCAGAGGACAUUCCAUCUUUGUCCUCAGACUAUAGUCAACUGUCCUAGAAAUGUCCUACCGCAGUCUCAUCUAAAACCUACUAAGCGAUAGUCAAAUCAUCUUCACCGUAGUUAAAAAACAUUGACUGCAACUCUUCAGUUCAAGGAACUACAACUCUUCAACUGACUUUUCACGAAUUGCCUAUUGAAAAUUUUGAGGUAGGCCAAUGCUCUCAAAUUCCCGAAUCUUCAAGUUCUGAUGAUUCUAGCCCACGUUUUCAAAAUAAUUCAAAAGGUUCCAGGAAAGUACAGUUGAAUACCAAUGACUGUGGUUCACCAAAAUUUUUGGCAAAAAGAGCUUUCAAAGAAGAAAUUACAUCUCGAAACAAAAGUAGGCCAAAUUUUUCAAAAAUUAAGAAAAUUCCAAAAUCCAAGAGUUCAGAAAAUUCUUCUUUCAUGAAAACAAAAAAAAAAGGAAAGUUCAGUUUCAGAUCUACUCUUCAACUUACCCGAAGUGGAAAUGAGUUUUACCCACUCCAACACUUUUAAAAUCAAAUCAAAACAAAUGGAAAGGAAUUUUAUCAAAUCCAUCUAGAGCAACUCAAAGAUUUACACGUGCGAAACCUUGUUCAAAACAAACUUUUCAAAGCUCAAACAUCAAAUCUUUCAAAAGUUACCCACCUCGGACUAAUUUCAAGUCCAACACACCCCAUAAACUGCUGACCAAGCACAAUGUCAGAUUCAAUGACAAACCUUCUUUUUGCAAAUGUCAGUGCAGCUGUCAAAGGUUUUUAUCUCAUGUCAAGUCCAAUCAAAGUCAGAAAUCUCGUACUUUUCAGAAAACUUGUAACAAUCCAAAUCUGAACAAACACCUAGGACUCGGUCUGAAAGAUGACAAAAGACCUAUCCAUGCAACCUCGGACCAUGCAUCAUUUAAGAAUACAUCAGUCGUCCUUGGCUCCAAACUUGUUUGGAUGCCUAAACUAACCGUUUAAUUCUCAGGCUUUGUGCAAGGAGGAACAAGAAGAAGAAUGGUUAAUUGACAGUGCCUGCUCCUUGCACAUGACCGGAAGGUUAGAGUACCUUCGGGAUUUUAGGCCUAUAUGCAAUGGUGGAAAUGUCACGUUUGGCAACAAUGCAAACGGUGUCAUCCGAGGUUACGGUGUUCUCACUACGGGGAACUUUUCCGUUCAGAAGGUUGCUUAUGUAGAAGGUCUUAAACACAAUCUUAUCAGUUUUGGCCAACUAUGUAAAGCAGGACAUCGAGUUGAAUUUGACAAUCAAUUAUGUUACAUAAUGACGAGUGAUCGCAACACCUGCUUAAUCAAGUCUCGCUCCGAAGGCACGAUGUAUCCUCUAGAUGUUUCUCUCAUCAUUGGUAAAACGCAGCUGUGCUUUCUGUCUAAAGCUGUAUCUGAAGUCUGUUGGCUGUGGCACCACAAGUCAUCCUCUGAUAAUGGAUUCUUCUAUCUCUGAGCCACUAGAGCUAUUACACAUCGAUCUCUGCGGUCCGCCAACUGUAGCUAGUCUUCACCACAAAAAUAUAUAAUGGUUAUUGUUGAUGACUACACACGCUUCACAUGGGUCUUCUUUCACAGACUUAAAUCAGAGACACCGCAUAUCUUCAUUAACUUCACUAAAGAAAUCGAACUUCAAAUCAAGCUUCCAGUCAGAUGCAUCCCCAGUGACAAUGGAACUGAGUUCACUAAUCAUCUUCUGAACAGUUUCCUAGUUUCCAAAGGCAUCUAUCAAAACUUUUCAGCAGCCUAUACACCGCAAAAAAAUGGUGUAGUAGAAAAAAGGAACCGCACUCUCGUUGAAGCAGCCAGAUCCAUGCUUAACUUCGCCCAACUUCCUCUCCACUUUUGGGCUGAAGCCGUAGCAACCGCAUGUUUUGUUCAAAACCGAAGUAUUAUUUGCAAGCGUCUCAAUAAAACACCAUAUGAGGGUCUCAACAAUCACAAACCCAAUGCUCGUUUCUUUCAUAUCUUUGGAUGUAGAUGCUUCGUGAUCAACAACAGAGACCAACUCAACAAGUUUGCACCAAAGUCAGAUGAAGGUGUCUUCGUUGGUUAUUCUACUGACAACGUUGUAUAUCGAGUGCUCAUCAGAAGAACAAGGUUGAUCAUCGAAAGCUUCGAUGUGAAAUUUGAUGACUCUCACAUCCGCAGUGCACCUCCAUCUACCGAAACAACUGCAAUCAUGGAAAGUGACAUUCCAGCCACUUCUAGACCUCUAAAUCUAGUUGAAAUCAACUAUGAUGAUCUGUUUGAUCCCAUUGAAACGGCGAAACUAUCCGAAGUCCUAGUGUCAUCCGCAGCUCAACAACAACAUGCUGACGUAUCUGGACCGUCUCUAUCUGAAGUAGUAUCGCUCAAUACUUCCACCUCUCUGGUUGAGGGGGAAAGCUCUAAUCCGGAUAUUGUUGCAACCGUUAAGAUUCCAGUACCUGAUGUUGUUUACAUUCCUACCCGAAGUGAAGCCUCACCAUCAAACGAACCUUCAGACGACUCAAAUGACGAAGUCUUAGAGAAUAUUGACACUAGAUCCGAUCCUAAAAUUGUCACUCUUUCAUCUGCAUUCCAGGGGAAACCUUCUCAACUUCUAGAGGAACACCCAUCCGCAAUCCAGGGGGAACCUCAACCUCUGCCAAUUCCUCAAGAAAAUUCUACCUCAAUAGAUCAAUAUGUUUUAGCAGGAUGCUCUCAAAUCUAAGGGGAACUACCAUCUCCAACCGCAGAUUCCUCUGACUUCCAAGACAUUCCUUCUACCGCAGCUGCUGAUCAUCUAAUGCGACGUCUUCAUGUAUGGACAAGAGACCAUCCACCAAGUCAAAUUAUUGGCAAUCCAUCCGCAGGUAUCCAGACUCGGUCUUCCAAGGACUUAUCUGAUCACUGCCAUUAUGCAACAUUUAUGUCUUCAGUUGAACCUAGAACGUUCAAAGAAGCUUUGCUUGAACCAGACUGGAUAGCUGCAAUGCAAGAAAAGUUAGAAGAAUUUGAAAGAAACAAAGUAUGGCAACUUGUUCCUCUUCCACAAGGUCAUACUAUUGUUGGUACAAGAUGGGUUUUCAAGAACAAGCUAGACGAAUCUGGCUCAGUCAUCUGAAACAAGGCAAGACUUGUUGCCAAGGGCUAUAGUCAACUAGAAGGCAUUGACUACGAUGAAACGUAUGCUCCGGUAGCACGAAUGGAAGCCAUCCGGAUCUUUCUAGCAUACACAACCCACAAAAAUGUCAAGGUACACCAAAUGGACGUUAAGAGUGCUUUCCUCAAUGGUGAACUAAAAGAAGAAGUUUAUCUUUAGCAACCUCCAAGAUUAGAAAAUGAUGAAUUUCCAGACCACUGCUAUAAGCUCGAAAAAGCAGUAUAUCGCCUGAAACAAGCUCCAAGGGCUUGGUAUGAGACACUCUCUGAUUUUCUUGUCUCAUCCGGGUACAAAAGAGGAGUGAUUGAUCCCACAUUAUUCAGAAAAGCAAAUGGUGACCACCUUAUGAUGGUACAAAUAUAUGUGGAUGAUAUCAUUUUUGGGUCUACUGAUCAAGAUAUGGUAGAUGAAUUUGCAAAGCUCAUGACCAACAAAUUCAAAAUGAGCAUGAACAGAGAGACCAACUUCUUUCUAGGUCUUCAAGUCAAACAAAUUCAGUAAGGAAUUUUCAUUCAUCAAGAAAAAUACACCACAGAACUUCUGAAGAAAUACUCAAUGGAUAACUGUGAUGGGUUUAGAGCAUUCUAACACUUCCUUAGUGUACAUGCAACCCUAAUAACCUUGAAUCUAUGUUUUCUCUAUAUACAUGCAAAUUUCUUUUUCAAGGUUAUUUCCUAACUAGCAUGGCAUGGGGAAUAUAUGAAACAUAAAAAACUAGUAGAAAUGCAUACCUUGUUGUUGCUUGGAUUCCUUCAAGACUUUGUGAGCCUAGCACCCCAAACGUUGUGCCUCAAAUGCUUCACAACACCACAAAACUUGGAAUAACUUGAGAGAAUACUUCUAGCACUCAAAAUUGGUUAUGCCCUUUCUAGUAACACUCAACGGUCCGAUUUUACUAGCCAAAGGGUUCCUUUUAUAGUGGUGUCACAAUUAGGGUUUCAUUAAGAAGACCCAUAAUUUUCAUGACUCUUCAUUUCUCAUGACCCAUGGGUUUGUAACUCCCAUGGACUAUCCAUGGAGCUCCAAAUGGUUACAUCCAUAACCCAUAAACCAUGGAUCAUUAAUCCACCAUAAAAGAAUUGAUGAUUGUCAUAAUCAACCCUAUCUAUUUAAUUAGUCUCACUUUGAUCACCAAAUUAAUACUAGAUUAAUACUUGAUCAAUACUAAUUAAAUAACACUAUUAUUAAUAUAUUAGAACUUAUAAUAUAUUAAUAAUCAUAAGUGCCAUAUUCUCUCAUUUAGUCUAUCCAAGUAUUGCAAUGCCAUGCAACCCAAAUGGACCAUGCCGGGUCGGAUCAAGUACAUACCAAAUAAAGUUAUGGACUUAGACACUAUAUCCAACAGUCUCCCACUUGGAUAAGUCUAAUAACUAUAUUUGCAAAUAUGACUUCAAAAUCCGACUAGCAAUCGUAGCUCUUUCAAAGUCUCUCGGAACUGAGAUGAUAAUGAUACGCCAUUUAAGAUAAGUGAUCAUAUAAUCCUCUGCUCUCAUGAUAUCAGCCGGACAAACACAUGGAACAUGGUAUUACUUAUUGUGUAUCAUUUGUUUCUCGAUCUCCGAUUUGUUUCAACAUAGAACUAAAUUGAACACAUCAAUUAGGUUCUGACCGGGCCCGAUACAUGGGUCAAAACCAAAUCAUCGAGGGGCCCAGAUAUCGCUUCUAUUUCUAGAAGGAACAGAUAAACUUCGACUGAUAUGCUUGUACUAACUACUUGUUGAAUUAUUCACAAAGGCACGUUUUAUAACAUCGAGUUACCAAUGCGUUUUCGUACAAUCAAUGAAUAACCAACUCAUAGUCAACAACUCAUAUCUCUAGGUUUGAAGAUUUAUAUGAUAUUACCGUCUCACGAUCACUCGAGAUAAAUUCCAUGAAGUGAUGCAAGUGAGCGUUGGUUGAAUCGAAUACUCAACCCUUAUGAGUACACAUGAAUGUUGUAGCAACCAUUGCAUUGCCCAAAGCACUUUAGACAAAUCGUACAAGCCAAAUUCAUUACAGUCUUAAAUCAAUACUUACUUCCAAAGUUUGACUGACUAUGGAUGGUUUGAAUAAUAUGAUAUAUACCAUAACAUAAUUAUUCUGGAAGUAAAAACAUGCAAAAUUGAAACAUAGUAAACAAUCAACACAAGAUAGUAACACCUUACUCAUAAAUAAAUAACAACUUUUAUUUAUCAUCAAAUGUCAAUUACAUUUUACAAGUUUCAUGAAUCUAAUUAUUGAAACUAAUAUCAUCCUUCAGCCAAAUGCGCCUUGCAUGUUGUACAUGCUUAACCCUACUCAGUCCCUUUGUGAAGGGAUCUGCCGGGUUCUCAUCUAAUGAAACCCUCUUUGCCAUGAGGAGUCCUUCUUCUAAUCUAUGUAUGAUGAAAUGGUAUUUUCUGUCAAUGUGCCUAGAUCUCCCGUGAUCUCUUGGUUCCUUCGCCAAAGCAACCGCACUUUCACUAUCACAGAAAAUUUCCAUUGGCUCCUUUAUAGCUGGUACAACUCCAAGGUCUCCGAUGAAGUUCUUUAGCCAUAUCGCCUCUUUUGCUGCCUCGCUUGCUGCUAUGUACUCUGAUUCACAAGUCGAAUCAGCUACUGUCUCUUUCUUGGAACUUUUCCAAGUGAUGGCUCCCCCAUUUAGGAUAAAGACCCAGCCUAAAUGAGAGCGGAAAUUAUCCCUAUCAGUUUGAAAGCUAGCAUCACUAUAUCCUUCCACUCUCAAGUCAUCACUGCCCCCGAGGAUAAGGACCAAGUCCUUAGUCCUCCGCAAAUACAUGAGAAUGUUCUUUACCGCUGUCCAGUGUGCCUUGCCAGGGUUCCCUUGAUAUCUACUGACCAUGCUCAAAGCAAAGGCCACAUCAGGGCGAGUACAAGUCAUAGCAUACAUGAUCGAGCCCACAGCGGAAGCAUAUGGUAUCUGACUCAUUUCAGCUAUCUCAGCCUCUGUACUCGGACUCUGAGUCUUACUUAGCUUGGCAUUACUCUAGAUUGGCAACUCUCCUUUCUUGGAAUCUUGCAUACUGAACAUCUUCAGUACCUUAUCCAUAUAAAUACUUUGACUAAGUCCAAUUAGUCUCUUACUCCUAUCUCUCAAUAUCCUUAUCCCUAGGAUAGAGGCAACUUCCCAAGGUCCUUCAUAGCAAAACACUUCCCAAGCCAGGCCUUAACCUCCUGCAAAGUUGGGAUGUCGUUUCCUAUGAGAAGUAUGUCAUCCACAUACAACACCAAGAAGCUAACUAUGCUCCCACUAGCCCUGACAUACACACAAGACUCAUCCUCACUCCUAGAAAAGCCAAACUCUUUGACUUUCUCAUCAAAGCAAAGAUUCCACCUGCGAGAUGCUUGUUUCAAUCCAUAAAUGGAUUUUUCAAGCUUACACACUCUAUUAGGGUAUUUUGGAUCGACAAAACCCUCUGGCUGAGCCAUGUAAACAUCCUCAGCCAACUUCCCAUUAAGGAAAGCGGUUUUGACAUCCAUUUGCCAUAUUUCAUAGUCAUGAAAUGCAGCUAUGGCUAACAACACUCUAAUAGACUUAAUCUUAGCUACUGGUGAGAAGUUCUCAUCAUAGUCAACUCCCGGAGUUUGAGUAAAGCCCUUCGCAACCAGUCACGCUUUAUAAGUGUGUACUUUCCCAUCCAUGUCAGACUUCUUCUUGAAGAUCCAUUUGCACCCAACUGUCUUACGACCUAGUACAUUGUCAACCAAAUUCCAAACUUGAUUGUCAUACAUGGACUGAAUCUCGCUGUCCAUAGCCUCCUUGCAUUUUGCAGACUCAAGGCCUGCCAUGGCUUCCUUAUAAUUAUUAGGUUCANNNNNNNNNNNNNNNNNNNNNNNNNNNNNNNNNNNNNNNNNNNNNNNNNNNNNNNNNNNNNNNNNNNNNNNNNNNNNNNNNNNNNNNNNNNNNNNNNNNNGUAACAGGUGAUGCUUUCUUGUUGCCCAUGACUAAGUUUAUCUUCUCGUUCUCUACUUGCUCACUUCUUCUUAGUGCCUGCAAAUUAGUAUAAAUGUGAAUACCACACCCUGUAUCAAGCACCCAAGUAUUAGCAUUAGAUGAGUUGUUAGACAAUAUUGUGUAAAUACCUGCAUGGGUGGGUUUAACCUUCCCAUCCUUUACAUCUUGCGGAUAUUUGGCGCAGCUUCAUUUGAAGUGUCCUCUAUCUUGGCAAUAGAAGCACUAUGCUUCCUUUCGGUUCGAAGAAGGAGUAAUGGGACCUUUCUUUGUCCCACUUGAAGAGGAACCAUCAAGAGUCUUACCCUUGGUACCCUUUGAAGGGCUUUUCCUCUUCUUACCCUUCCCUUGCUCAAUUGCAAGAACAGGGGCUGUUAGAGGAGUAGAAUUAGCAACUGCUUUACCCUUAAGGCCAUUUUUAGUUGUCCUUAAGAGUCGUUGAAGUUUGCUAAGUGUGACUUCCUCCUUAUUCAUAUGAUAAGUCAUACGAAACUGAUCAUAACUUGAAGGUAAGGAAUGGAGAAUGAUGUCAAUCGCCAAUUCCUCAGGGAAGUCAACAUUGAGCUUUAGCAACCGGUUAACAAACCUCUGCAUCUUCUACAAGUGACCGGUGAUGGGUUCACCAUCCUUCAUCCUUGCAGUUAUCAUGGAGAAAAUGAUUUCAUACCUCUCUUAACGCGCGCUCUGAUGGUACCUUUCCAUCCCAUAGGGGUAGAAAUCUUCAUAAGAUUUUUGGAGUUUUGGAGUCAUUGUGGCCAUCAUGAUGCAGGACACCUUGGUGGCAUCCUUCUCAUGUGCAAUGAACUCCGCAAGNGCAGUGGCUUCAUUAACAACCUUAAGCUCCCUAUCAAGGACAUAUUCUUUGUCCUCAUAGCGGGUAAUCAUCCUGAUGUUUCUGAUCCACUCAUUGAAGUGGGAUCCAUCAAAGAUGACAUUACCACACAAGUUCAUUAGGGAAAAGGAGCCUGUAGGGUUUGAGCCAACAACAUUAUUGGAAGACAUCUGGAAUAGUAGGAAGAUAAGUUUCAUUAGAUUAAGAGUCCUUAAUAAGUCACCCNNNNNNNNNNNNNNNNNNNNNNNNNNNNNNNNNNNNNNNNNNNNNNNNNNNNNNNNNNNNNNNNNNNNNNNNNNNNNNNNNNNNNNNNNNNNNNNNNNNNAAAAUGGAAUCUGGAAAUGUUUCAAAGUUAAGAAUUAUUCAAUCUAUGUAAGAUUAAGGAAACUUCAUGCAAGAAGGAUAUUUCCAAGGAACUGAUCUCCUUUGGAAUGCUCUGUAAUGGUUGUUGUCAAGUCUUUAUGACUUUGUGCAUAAUCAUUACAAGAGGACCAAUGCAUAUAAGUUUAGAAUCUGACAGAUUCCAGUAAAUGGCAUGAAUUUGGAAUUCUUGCAUUUGUAGUAAGGAUUUGGGAGUGUGAAAAAAAGAAUCAUUGAAGUUAUGUUCAAUGGAUCUAGUUCACAAAGUAAAGAUCAUAGACAAACAUAGUAUGCAUACUUAGUGUGUGGCAUGACUAGUGUUUAGAAAACAUAGUGUACAUGCUUGGAGCAUGGGACAACUGUUGUUUUAAAUUCAAGNNN